UACGAAGGGGGCUAGCGUUGCUCGGAAUUACUGGGCGUAAAGGGCGCGUAGGCGGUUUGACAAGUCUGAUGUGAAAUCUAUGGGCUCAACCCAUAGCCUGCAUUAGAAACUGUCGGGCUUGAGUAUGGGAGAGGUGAGUGGAAUUUCCGGUGUAGCGGUGAAAUGCGUAGAUAUCGGAAGGAACACCUGUGGCGAAAGCGGCUCACUGGACCAUAACUGACGCUGAGGCGCGAAAAGCUAGGGGAGCAAACAGGG
rnacentral:rRNA from 1 species